GAACUUUAUUUUGCCAGGAAUUUAUUUACCUGGGUAAAAGAAUUCCAGGUAAUCUGUGUGCUUUGCAUUUCCACCACACCCCAAAGUUCGGGUAAUUUAUUCAAAUCAGGCUGAUGACAUACCGGGAAGUGGUAAAAGAAACUCCACUACACCUCCAGUCCAGUAGGUUCCUCUUCGGUUUUU